rnacentral:rRNA from 1 species
CCCCACUAUGUUCAGCCGUAAACUUUAAAUUACAACCCCAUCGCCAGGGAACUACGAGCAAUGCUUAAAACUCAAAGGACUUGACGGUACCCCAUAUCCCCCUAGAGGAGCCUGUCCUAUAAUCGAUAAUCCCCGUUCAACCUCACCACUUUUAGCCUUCUCAACCUGUAUACCUCCGUCGUCAGCUUACCUCGUGAGCGAAAUCUAGUGAGCCCAAUGUCUCCACAUCAAUACGUCAGGUCAAGGUGCAGUUUAUAAAGUGGGAAGAGAUGGGCUACACUUUCUAAUAUAGAAAAUACGAAAAACUACAUAUGAAAUCUAGUUGGAAGGCGGAUUUAGCAGUAAAAAGAAAAUAGAGUGUUCUUUUUAAUUUGGCACUGGGGUGUGUACACACCGCCCG